ensembl:lncRNA
CAGAGAAGCAUAAAACACCACCAAAAGCAAAUGCAUAAAUAAGAAGCAGAGAACAUCAGGGGAGAGUUUUGGUGCUGUUAGAAAAAUGUGCACGGCAUAAGAAAAUUUCCGUGGUGAUGACAUUAAUACUGUGCAAAAGGGCAAAAAUAAAACUCCGAGCUGCAUGCCAAGAGGCAGCAGCAGCACACAGUCAGGAGAAUGAAUGCUAGGGAGACAGUAGGACAUGACUAAAUGUGUUAGGCUGCAAAGCCUUCCUUAAAACUAUGUCAGAGACGGAAAGGAAUCACAACCAUGCAAAGCUGAACUAAAGCAAUGCGAUGUCUCCAUGCCAUUAGGCAGAGUAAAUUGCAAGUCAAAUCAGUGUUGCUGGCAGCACCAACUCUUUUGCUUUAAGCUGCACACAGCGGAUCCCUCAUCACACAGGUGCUCUAAGUCUGAAGCAAACAAUUCAUGCAGUCAAGGAGACAUCUGGUGAUCUCCCCGGGGCUGGGACAGACCUCAGCAGCCUGGAGCAACGCAACCAAUUCCUACUCUCAGAUGCACAGAAUCCAUCCAGAGUCUACGUUGCUACUUCUGAGGUCCCGAAUGAACGGCAGUGAAUAAAUAUUGCCGAGUCUUAAUGGAAAGUCAUGUCUUACCCAAGACCAUUCCACUGCACUCAGUAUAACCAGAGAUUUACCAGCUUAACUCCCCCUCUCCGGCUCAUAGUGACAACCCACAUAGCACAGAUUUGUGAAAAUCAGAGUUCACGGUGUCUUGAAGGCAAUGGGGGAGGCAUGAUCCAGAAUACAGUCUGUGUUGCUUCUCUGCCCCUCCUUAUUUCUUUUACAUCUUCCUGUGUUCGAAUACGUCUUGAAAACCGCAGAUCUGCUCUCUCCUGUAGGUGGCUCUUUUGAUUUUCUUUGUAUUUAUCACUCUUCUCUUUAACUCUCUUAAUUUCUCCAAUUAGAAAUACAGGAAAUGGCAGGUACCGUUGGUUUUAUACCUUUCUUUUUCCAUUCCUUUCUUUUUUUUCCUGCAGUCGCAUGCUUUUCACCAGAAAGAAAAGUGGAAGGCACAUGUCAGUGCCAACAGCACCAUCUUCUGUCUGCAGAGGUUAUGCAGCCUUCACUCACGCUUCCCUGAGUCCUCCAGAGAUGGGGCCGGUUGAGACUCCUGGAUCUACUGCUGGAUGUUGAGCUCUUCCUUUCGCUAGUGCUUUCGCUUCUACCCAACUUGUUCAGCUUCAUCUAAACUUAGAAGAUAUGUACACAGGUCCCACUCACGAAGAGCUCCAAGCAUGGCAUCCACCCAGCAGGAAGCUGUGUCCUCUGCAUCCCCUGCAGCCUCUCUGUCCACAGAAACCAACGUGGCUUCCCAGACAGAGCUCCCAGGGAACAUGCAGCCACUCAGGUGUAGGGUUGCAGAGAGUGCCUGAACUCUGGAACUCAAUGGACAAGCAAAUGUGGAUGAAGGUCCAUCCAGGUUGGAGGGGUCACUUAUGGUCACUUUCGUCAAGAAAAACAGAAAGGCAGUUGUUAGAGAAACACAGAAUAUAUCAAUCUGAAAGAGGAUCACCAGGAUCACUGAGUCCAACUGCCAGCUCCAAACAGAAACACCCAAAACUCAAACCCUAUGUCUGAGAGAAUUGCUCAAAUGCUCCUUGAACUCUAGCAGCCUGGGGCCAUGGCCACUUCCCUGGGGACCACUCCUGCUGCAGUUGUUAACAUACUGUUAAUACUAAGCAUAAAUUUUGCUAUUUAUGUACCAACUAGCUCAUUACAUAUUAAUGAAUGCCUUCUGGGUGUAUUCAGUGCUAGUCAGACAGGGAUAAUCUUUCUUCCCAUGACCCCUACUGUUCCUUUCUUUUUCUUGACUUCAUAUCUACCUUCCUGAUUUUUUUUCCCUUUAGCUUUCUGCAUCACGUUCACAUACUCCCUAGUCUAACCUCUCAUGAGCUGAAUUCCUCAUCCACUUGUCUGAUCUGACAAUCUGCAGUAGUGCAGUUCAAAUGUAAAUGCUGUGUUUCAGUUGAUAAGAUUUUGCACCCGUUGUGAUAAAAAUAAAGGCAAGGUGGAAUUCAGACAAUAAUGGAGAAAAACAAAGCACCUGAUAUGUUAUUGUUUUGAUUGUACACACCUUUAAAGCUUAAUUUGGCUAGGUCCUGCAUGUGCCUGGAACUUUUGGGGACUUAUUCAAGCCUGUUUAAAAGAAGUGCCAACAAUACAUCUUGACUGCAUGCUUUAGGUAACAAAUGGAAGAAUUACUAAAGACAUCAGAGUGACUGGAUAAGCAAACAAAACAUGCUAUAGCAUAGAAGAGUUCUCAGCUGGUAGCAUUCUGUUCAGUUAUUUCAUACAUCCUGUCAUUCCUCUUCUGCAAAGUGUUUUUGUGUGAGUGAAACAAGGUACAGUGUUUUACUUCACAUUUAAUUGUAUCACUUUGAAUUGUUUUCUUGAUCUUUUUCUUGAGUAGUUAUUUUAUUUGGAACGACAUACACGGCAAAGUGUUAAACCUAAAAGGAAACCUUAUUAACAAGCAGGAUUAAAAGUUGUUCCUUUUCCCACACAGGUAGACUUGUUGUGUUCUGCCAUGGUCAUGUGGACAGGUCUCAGCAACUAGAGAAUGCCUGUUUUAUAAAUGAUCGUUUGAAGCUGGCAGCCCAUGGCUUCAACAGCUAUGCUCUCUGUUGGAUAAAAAACUGGCUGGAGGACCAAGCCCAGAGAGCAGGGGUGGAUGGAGUUAAAUCCAGCAGGCAACCUGUCACGAGUGGUGUUCCACAAGGGUCCGUCUUGGGGCCUGUCCUGUUUAAGAUCGUUGCUGAUGAUCUCAACAAGGGGAUUAAGUGAACCCUC